rnacentral:rRNA from 1 species
CAUUAGAGUUUGAUCCUGGCUCAAGAUAAACGCUGGCGGCGUGCCUAGCCUAUGCAAGUCGAACGAGGCUUCGAGCCGAGUGGCGGACGAGUGAGUAACACGUACCUUACCUACCCAUAAGUGGGGAAUAAUUCGUCGAAAGACAGGCUAAUACCGCAUAAGCUCACGAGCUGGAGAGGCUUGAGAGAAAAGGGCUUCGGUCACUUUGAGAUGAGGCUGCGGCCCAUCAGCUAGUUGGCGUGGUAAAAGCACACCAAGGCGACGACGGGGAAGGGACCUGAGAGGGUGACCCCCCACACUGGGACUGAGACACGGCCCAGACUCCUACGGGAGGCANCAGGGAGGAAUAUUGCAGAAUGGGCGAAAGCCUGAUGGAGCGACGCCGCGUGGGUGAAGAAGGUUUUCGGAUCGUAAAACCCUUUUCUGUGUAACGAGAACGGACGGUAGCGCAGGAAUUAGUCUCGGCUAACUACGUGCCAGCAGCGCGCGUAAAACGUAGGAGACCAACGUUAUCCCCGAUUACUGCGCGUGAAGGGCGUGUGGGUGGGUUACGUCAGGCCGGCAUUCACUUUCCUCGGCUUAGCGCGAGGUAAUUUCACCCCAGCGUGCCUCCCUAAGCGCACGGGCCCGGCUUCUGUGUGGCCCGCCGCUGCCGGCGCCACCGGCCGGAGAAGUGCUCACGCACGCCGGCGUCCGGAUGGGCGGGGGCUGGCCUCGGGUCGCAGCGGCCCGCCGGCGCGUGCGGUUGAUCUCAGCCGCGGCGCCCCCGAGUCUNCGCGCGCCUGCCGUCUGUUUUGCUACUCUUUUACGUCUCCUGGCAUUGCUCACGAUACUGUUGGCUGGAC